GGGCGUCUCUUUCUCAUUACGAGUGGAGGCGCACCCAGAGCGUACACGCUGAUACCCGAAAGAUGGUGAACUAUGCCUGGCCAGGACGAAGCCAGGGGAAACCCUGGUGGAGGUCCGCAGCGAUUCUGACGUGCAAAUCGAUCGUCGGAGCUGGGUAUAGGGGCGAAAGACCAAUCGAACCAUCUAGUAGCUGGUUCCCUCCGAAGUUUCCCUCAGGAUAGCUUGCGCUCAUGGGAACGAGUCUCAUCCGGUAGAGCGAAUGAUUAGAGGCCUUGGGGUCGAAACGACCUCAACCUAUUCUCAAACUCCAAAUAGAUGAGAACUCCGGCUUCCUUGAAAAAUGAAGCCGGGGGCUUGGAUCAGAGUGCCAAGUGGGCCAAUUUU
rnacentral:rRNA from 4 species